CAAACCUGGCUCUAGAAAGCUGAGCUCUGACACAGAGUUGAAGUCCCCCUCCAGGUUCAAAAUUGAUUCAGGUUCAAAAUUGGUCCAAAAUUGUGUCAACCUCCAGGACUUGUCCAUGUGUGGCCUCUGUGAAGAGCCGUGCUCAAGUCAUGUCCAAGUCCAAGCCAGAAAGGGCCUUGCAGCAGCCACCUCAGAUGAAAGCACUUCCCAAAACCAAGAGAAACAAAAAAAGCUUCCUCGAAGUGGAUGGAGAUGCUGCACAAACUGCCUGAGCACCUCUGCCCUGCUCUGGGUUAUUGAACUGGCUUCUGCAAAGGCAAUUUCAAACAGCAAACAGCUAAGCAAGGGGAGCAAGACAUAACCUUUGCUUCUGCAGGACCUACCAGAAGCUGACAAUGUGGGUACGUGGGCAAUGGGAAAAGCAGUUUAUGUUUUAAGCUUCACGUGACCUCUGGAGCUUCUGGGCUUUGGAAGGUGAGAGUGAGACAAUCCUCACAAGCACUUGAUCCCUCUCGAAGUGAAGGGGCUUUCCUGGGUACACAGCUUUCCCCCUUCUGUCUCAGAAGUGUAUCUGGUUUUUUGGGGGUGGAAAAAAAAAAAAAAAAGAGGAUUGAUUCAAAUAAAAAUGUAUUUGUAUGAGAAAAAUUAUUUCCU
rnacentral:lncRNA from 1 species